UGAGUAAAAACCAACUACACCCUAAGCAUCUUUUCUUAUUUACAACAAUGCCAUCAUCUUCAAUUUUGCAACCACCAUUGAACCACCAUGUUUGAGCUCAUAAAAGCUCAAUAACUCAAUUUUAACCACUUUUUCUCUUCUCUAACUCAACAAAUCUUUCAUUUCCUCUACAUUUCUAUCUAAAAAACUCUCACAACUUUCAUUUUCAUCCCACAAAUUUCACAUUUUCGAGUUUCUUCAUUAGUAAAUCGUCAAAGAUGCUUCCUUUUGCUCGGUUUAUGAGUUUGGACGGUUGAAAGGGUCGGAAUCGAGGUUCACACCGGAAAAAGGUAACUGUUUACAUGGUUUUCACCACUUUUUCAGUCUGUGUCGCGAUGGUAGACUGCUUUAUAUGUCUACACCAAUGUGUAGACGUACGAUUCCGUCUAUUUGUCAACGAACAAGUCAGUUUCGCAAUUGACUUUUUUAACUUUUUUUUGGAACGCAGACUUCCCCAGCAGUCUACAUCCUUACCUUUGACUACAAAAACAAAAAUCUACGUAGACCUACCAAGACGGCUACGAAAAAGAGGAAAUGACUCAAUUACCGGCCGUAUACGGAGAAUGGGUGGAGAAAGGCUCAUUGUGGGAGUUUGUGGUCAAUAAAAAAAAGGGAGGGAGAAUGUUCCCUUUGAAAGAUGGUUGUACACAUGUUGAACUUCUUCAAAUGGUACAAGAAGAUUAUGAUCUAGACUAAAAACAUAUUGGUUAAGUGUGUUGAGUGAUUUGUAACACACACUUUCAACGAUUAUUGGGUAACAAUGUUUUUUUUCUUUCAAACAUAUGCAGCGUGGGUUUGAAGUUUUCUUUAAUAAUCGUUGAAAGUGUGUGUUACAAUAUGUUACAAACUAAGACAUUUGUUUGAAAGUGUGUGUUAGUUAACCCUAAUGGGUUUGAGUGA